ACCCAGGACCCAUAAGGCUGGUACGAUAUGUCAUGAACCCAAGAUCCAUAAGGCUGGUACGAUAUGUCAUGAACCCAGGAUCCAUAAGGCUGGUACGAUAUGUCAUGAACCCAAGAUCUAUAAGGCUGGUACCCCAUGUCAUGAACCCAGGACCCAUAAGGCUGGUACCCCAUGUUAUGAACCCAGGACCCAUAAGGCUGGUACCCCAUGUCAUGAACCCAGGAUCCAUAAGGCUGUACCCCAUGUCAUGAACCCAGGAUCCAUAAGGCUGGUACCCCAUGUCAUGAACCCAGGACCCAUAAGGCUGUACCCCAUGUCAUGAACCCAGGAUCCAUAAGGCUGGUACGAUAUUUCAUGAACCCAGGAUCCAUAAGGCUGGUACCCCCUGUCAUGAACCCAAGACCCAUAAGGCUGUACAUUUAAGGUGUGUUUCAGUCCUGAAGACUAUACAUCCACAGUGCAAUAUAAACACAUGUUUGGGG
ensembl:lncRNA